UUCUAACGUGUAAGCAACCCAGAAAGUUUAUUAAAACGAUUUCCCCACAUCAAAACGUCUGGUUGUAGCAUUUGGUUGCACUAAUAUAAUAUACGUUUAGUAUUUGGCCAUCUUCUAACGUCUUCUAUCCACUCCACUAUAGUACACGGAUCUGGUAACUGUGUAGAAGAUAAGUCAACUUUUUAAACUAACUUUCUCUGUCUGUGUUGCUUCACUGCUGAUUCUUGCCGUGCUUCCGUUGCCAAACUGCGUGCGCAUACGUUGCCACGUCAUCAUUGUGUACAAACAGUAAAAGGGUCACUCACUCACUCACUCUUUCGCAAGCUUCUCUGUUUUCAAGUAUUGUAAUUUUAUUCAUUUUACUCUCUCUCUCACUGUCCAAAACACUUAGCCUAUGCCUCUUUGUCUGACCAAUGUAGUAUUGUUGAAAUGGCUGCUGAGCAAGACAGAGGGAGAGCAAAGGGUGUUAUUUUCAUAGCAGACAUGCUUCUUGCUCAAAUCAAGGCAGAGGAACCCAAGGGCAAAGCAACAGCCAUUAAAGGGAGUACAUUUAAUGUCAGAUAGGUGGAGAAAAUGCUGAAGGAGGUCCACUACUAAAAAGAAGCAGAAGUGAAGAGAUACAAAGCUUCAGCUACAGUCUGUUUAUUGCCUACAGUGAGACCUCCACAUUUCUGCACUUGUGAUCAUGCAAACAUCCAGUGUAGGGCACUUCACCUGCCCGGCAUGUACACCCAACAAUGCUCGCUCUUUGUGCAGAUGGCAACAGAAAAACCUACAGAUUCCGUCAGUCAAAAGAAAGGAGCUUCAAGCAGCCACAAACGGAGAGUUCUUUUGAACAGAUAUUGCUUGCAAGUAUUGGCCAUACCUUGAGAAGGCGUCAGUCUCCAUGUUGGAACUCAGACCUUUACUGCAGAUGAGACCUUUCCUUUCUGUCAUGCAUGCCAAGGCUCAUUCAACCAAGUGUCAGGUGUCACACAUUUGUUAGAUAAUCUGGCAAAAAUCAGGAAGGUGCUGGUACAACUGCAGUUGAGGAGGUCGAAAUGGUCAACAGCUACCUGUCUCGUUGUGGCCUCACAACCAAGUAUCUAAUUGAUGCCUAUUUAUAAUAUUUUAGGAAACCUGUCUUUAUUUUUUCACUUUUUUAUUCUUUCUGUCUAGUACUUUGGGAUUGCAUAAGAGUAAGCUGUAACUGUUCAAACCAGGAAUGACAUGCUAACUGUCCAUGCUAUUGGGUGGAACCAACGGAAGCAAGAAGGCCUUCAGCAUUAUCCAGCAGAUACAUCAAGAAAGGCUGAGUCUCAGAGACGGGAAGAUUUGAGCAGUGAACUGGGGUGUCCUGAGAACAUUGUGAAUCAGUGGGUACAAGAUGUCAGACAAAAGGCUACUGAUGGAUUUGGUAGGUACCAGAUGUGAUGACCUACACAACCUUCAGAAAUGAAUUGAACAAAUGUUUCUUAGUCUUCAUCGAAAAGCCAGCCUUUAUAAUCACACUGAAUCCAGCAACACCCUCACCAAGAUGAUUUCAAAAGUGCGCCUUCAAGAAGCAAAGAUCAUUGUGAUGAGGGAGAUGAGACACCACUGCACCGCACCUAUCUCAGAAGCCUGGCUAGGAACAUCAGGAAAAUGAUAUCAGAAAUGUCUUCAGGCAAAAACAGUGGCAGUUUAAGUGAAGAGUGUCAUCGCUGGCUACUGUGUCGUCUUCAGAAAAGGCUUGCAGAUGUAGAGAAGUUCCAAGUUUGCUCAAGUUACAGCCAGGCUUUAGGACAGUGUUCUUCACUCCCAACCCCGGAGAGCCGGUGUCCUGCAGACUUUAGCUCCAACCUUAAUCAAACACAUCUGAAAGCUAAUCAAUGUCUUCAUGAUCUCUAGAAAAUCACAGGUAUGUGUGUUUGAUUAAGGUUGGAGCUAAGCUCUGCAGGACACCAGCUCUCCAGGAUAGAGAGUGAAGAACACUGCUUUAGGACCAAAUGCUGUUUCUCUGCUGGAGGAUGAGCCUGAGGAGAUACUGGAGGACCACAAAGAGCUGGAUUAUGAGAGUUCAGAUGACAUUUUGGAUUUGGAACUCUGAACUGGUGUAUGCAUUUAGACUGUGUGUCACACUGAACUGCAGGUGUGUUUCAUGGAAAACAUAAAACUAUUUGGAAAUGUAAUGGAUGUCUGAUACAGUGCUUUUAUUUUAGACAACCGUUUCCUGCAGUCUGUAAGCAACAUUAGCCUCAUAGAUUGAUGGGAAACUACUGUUAAAUAAGUUUUUGUAUGAUAAUCCAUAUCUCCGUUUACAAGCAGCAGGUUAGCUAUUAGGUUUCCCAUCCACCUCCGAUAUUUCACAGACUACUCCUACAGUCAACUGUGUUGCUACAACUUGCAAAUGCCACAAUCCUCUUGCAGUGGUUACUUCACCAAACUGUGCCCAUAUCAUCUUGUCAACAUAAUGACAUUUACUGUAGAAAAAUGUGCAAAUCUAUUUUGCCUGUGUUACAUAUGUUACUAUUAUUGUUAUAUAGUUUUAUACUGUAUCAAGUUUUUUUCACAGUGAUUGUGGAUACUUUUGGAGUGAACUAACUGUAUGUCAUUAGAUGAAAUACUUUACAUAAAUGACUGAUCAAUAACCUACCCAUAUUUGAUGCAUGAGUUAAUACUGUUGUUACCUUUUCAAUGAAAGGAAAUGUUUUACAAUGCCAUUUUCUUGAGGUAAUUAUUAAACUGUUUCAUAUAUGUACCUGCAAAA